rnacentral:rRNA from 1 species
UACGGGGGGGGGCAAGCGUUGUUCGGAAUUACUGGGCGUAAAGGGCUCGUAGGUGGCCAACUAAGUCGGACGUGAAAUCCCUCGGCUUAACCGGGGAACUGCGUCCGAUACUGGUUGGCUUGAGUUUGGGAGAGGGAUGCGGAAUUCCAGGUGUAGCGGUGAAAUGCGUAGAUAUCUGGAGGAAUACCGGAUGGCGAAGGCGAGUCUGAGCCGAGAUUGACGCUGA